rnacentral:rRNA from 1 species
UUCCGCAAUGCACGAAAGUGUGACGGGGCAAUGCCGCGUGUGGGAUGAAGCCCUUCGGGGUGUAAACCACUGUCAGGGACUACCAACAACAUGAGGAGUCCCAAAGGAAGAGCCGGCUAACUCUGUGCCAGCAGCCGCGGUAAUACAGAGGGCUCGAGCGUUAAUCGGAAUCACUGGGCUUAAAGCGUGCGUAGGCGGAUUUGAAGGCGCUUUGUGAAAUCCCUCGGCUCAACCGAGGAACUGCUUGGCGAACCACAAAUCUUGAGGCUGGUAGAGGUGGUCGGAACAAUAGGUGGAGCGGUGAAAUGCGUAGAUAUCUAUUGGAACACCGAAGGUGAAGACAGGCCACUGGGCCAGUCCUGACGCUGAGGCACGAAAGCGUGGGUAGCAAACGGGAUUAGAUACCCCGGUAGUCCACGCCGUAAACGAUGCGCACUUGGUCGAGGGGGU